rnacentral:rRNA from 1 species
GUCUACGGCCAUACCAUCCUGGAUGCUCCUCCCCAUCUCAUCUGAUCUCAGAAAGUAAGGAGGGUGGGGCCUGGUUAUUACUUGGAUGGGAGACUGCCUGAAAGUACCAGGUGCGGCAGCCU